CAGUCCAUUGAGUUGGCAGCUAUAUUAAAGACUGUUGUUGACCACCACCCUCAAGUUGCUGUAGUAAUUAUUAACAACGCCAAGCCGGAAAAAGUAAAGAAACAGCGUAUAAAGCAUGAAAAGUGGCUCUUAGGGUGGGUGGACGGAGAGCAAAUCCGUCAGGAAACCGGAGAAGAAGAAGAGAGAAAACAAUAAAAAGAAGUAAAAGACGAAACUUUGGCCACCAAAGAGAGAAAAUGGAGAGUCUUCAGAAAUCUAAUUGUUCUUUCAUGUCAGAGGAAACAGCUGACAAGUCAUGGAGCACUGGAAGAAUUUAAGUAUUUAUAUAUGAACUCCUAUAGCAUGAAGAGAACAAGAUGAAACGAGCCCUCUCUGAGGUGACGGGAAGAGCUAUCAGUGAGCACUCGGUCCCUGCAGAUGGAGGAGAAGGGGCCUCUUCUGUCAGGACACGAACACUUUAACGGGACGAACUCAACCAGCUCCAAUUUAUUGAUUUCCACGUUUCCCAUUCAAUUAUGCCUCUGCAUCUGUUAAUAAAAAUCUAUAAAUGC